AAAAUACUCACUUUCAUCAGCUAUAGUUUGGAAGAAAGUGUCCUUGGGCAAUUUGCCUGGGGAAGCCUCAAGAAUUUCUCUUGGCUCAGGGCCUUCCUGGGCUUUCAGGAGUCAAAGCUCACUUCGUCAGAUGCUAGACAUGACAAAGUCAUAUGAGCUUUGAAACCAUAUGCUUCUGGAAAAUGUUAUUGGUCUUUAAGGUGUUACCAGACUCAAAUUUUGUUAUGAAGUGAAGGUGGGGGAUUAGUCUUCAAAACAUUGAGUAUGUGAGGUGCAGAGAACUCUGUUUGGAUUCCUUAGACUGAACUUCCUUCUACAUUCUAAGCAUUUACAUUGUUAUGUACAACAGCUGGAUGGCACUGUCAAGUUUUGGAUCAACCACAAGAUUAUCUCCCAGACUUUCCAGUGCCAGUUGGCAUUCUAUACGAGAGGAAAGGACUGCAGGAAAUGACGUAACUCAUUUGCAUCCUAUCUAAUUGGAAUUCCAAUGGUUAAAUGAAUACUGUAACUUAAACUGUGAUAUGAUGAAAUCUGAGGCAAGUUAUAUUUUAAGAGAGCUGAAAGCACCCAGAGACAGUUACAGCAUAUGCCAUUCUGGUUCUCCUGUCCAUUCUCUCCUCAAGUAGACAUUUUAUUUAAGUGGGAGAAAAGACAACAUUUAAAGGUCACAAAUUAGCAAAAUACAGAUAACAGUACAAAUAAAAAUGUGUCUUCCUACAAUGUCUUCCUUUUAGAGAUAUCACAUUAACCACUUCUAUGUCACCAUUCAGUUUAUUCUUAUAAUUCUGUAAUCCCUAUAAAUAAAGAACAGGCUCCACCAUGUACUCAACGUGUGUGUAUGUGAACUGCCGUAAAGUCACAGCCAACUUCUGGUAACCCCAGCAAGAGGCUUUCAAGAGAAGUGAGUAGUAGAGAAGAUUUGCUAUUGCCUUCCUCUGCAAAGUCUUCUUUGGAGGUCUCCCCUUCCAAGUACCGCUUAGUUUCCAACAUCUGAUGCAAUCGGGCUACACCAUGUUGAAGCGUUACGAGCAAAAACUACCAGAGCAUGGCCACACAGCCCAGAAAACCCACCUGAAGGACGUUCAGAAUGAGCAACUCUUUGUGCUACACAUAUUUUCUCUGAUGCAGACUCUACAAUAUGAAAUGAGAAUUCUGCUCACUCCAAUGCUCUGCCCAUACUAAAGGAUUUACAGGUAUGGUCACUAAUGUUAAUUCUCAAAUUUCAGAGCUGAUGUAUCAUACAAGCUCCCAAACAGCCUGAGCAUUUAGACAACCUACCCAUUCAAAUAUUUUAUUCACGGACAAGACCUUUCCCCAAGGCUAAAUUGAUCUAUUGUUUUUGCCUAGUGUGAAUAAGUUCAUGUCUCAUAAGGUUUGAGUGUUGGCUGAAGCAAGACCCACAUUCCUGGCAUUUAAAUGGCUUCUCCCCCGUGUGGAUUAGUUGAUGUCUAAGAAGGUUUGAGUUGUGAUUGAAGCAACUUCGGCAUUCCAGGCAUUGAUAUGGUUUCUUCUUGUUUUGGGUCCUAGGCUUGCUUUGGUUCUCACUGAAGCCCUUUUUACAUCCCCCCGUACAUGUAUUUUUAUGUCUCCUAAGAGUUACACUGUGACUGAAGUUUUUCCCACAAUCCAGGCAUUUAAAGGGUUUCACAUCUUUGUGGAUUUUUUGAUGAUUCAUAAGCCUUUCACCCAGACUAAAGCUCCUUCCACAUUCCAAGCAUUUGUAUGGUUUUUCUCCUUUGUGAAGGAGUUGAUGUUUUAUGAAGUUUGCUUUCGUUGUGAACUUUUUUCCACAUUCUGAACAUUCAUGCAAUUUCUCUCCAGUGUGUAUUCUUCGAUGCAUAGCAAGACUUGAGGUAUGCCUAAAGCUCUUUCCACAUUCCAAACAUGCAUAUGGUUUGUCACCUGUGUGGGUACUUUGAUGCAUUGUGAGGUUUGUACUAGUGAUAAAACUCUUUCCACAUUCUAAACAUUUAUAUGGUUUUUCACCUGUGUGGGUUCUUUGAUGCAUAAUGAGAUUUUUACUCUGUGUAAAGCUCUUUCCACAAUCCAGACAGGUGUAAGGUUUCUCUCCUGUGUGAAUUAGUUGAUGUCUAAUGAGGGUUGUACUUUGCACAAAGCUCUUUCCACACUGUAAACAUUUAUACGGUUUUUCACCAGUGCGGUUUCUUUGCUGUUGGCUGUGGCUGAAGGUAUUUGCAGGCUUGUGGAGUAGAUACAGUUGUUCUUUUGCAUGAAUUUUUUGAUGUCUAACAAGGCACGAUCUUACAAUAAACCUCUUUCCACAUUCCAAACAUA